rnacentral:rRNA from 1 species
UACGGAGGAUGCAAGCGUUAUCCGGAAUGAUUGGGCGUAAAGCGUCCGCAGGUGGCUAUGUAAGUCUGCUGUUAAAGAGCAAAGCUUAACUUUGUAAAAGCAGUGGAAACUACAUAGCUAGAGUGCGUUCGGGGCAGAGGGAAUUCCUGGUGUAGCGGUGAAAUGCGUAGAGAUCAGGAAGAACACCGGUGGCGAAAGCGCUCUGCUGGACCUAAACUGACACUGAGGGACGAAAGCUAGGGGAGCGAACAGG